rnacentral:rRNA from 1 species
GUGCACUUUUGAAGACGUUUACUUUGAGGAAAUGAGAGUGUUUAAAGCAAGUUUUUGCCUUGAAUACAAAAGCAUGGAAUAGUCGCAGAAUCUUGGCCUCAUUUUGUUGGUUUCUGGUGCAGAGGUAGUGGGCAACAGGGAUAGUUGGGGGCAUCAGUAUUUGACUGUCAGAGGUGAAAUUCUUGAAUUUGUCAUGGAUUGACUAGUGCGAUGGCAUUUGCCAAGGAUGUUUUCAUUAAUCAAGAACGAAAGUUAGGGGAU